AGUGUCUUAAGGGCAUUCGGUGGAUGCCUUGGCGACAAGAGGCGAUGAAGGACGUGAUACGCUGCGAUAAGCCAUGGGGAGCUGCGAAUAAGCUUUGAUCCGUGGAUUUCCGAAUGGGGAAACCCACUCCGUAUGGAGUACCCGCAAGGGAGCAAACCCGGGGAACUGAAACAUCUAAGUACCCG
rnacentral:rRNA from 1 species